rnacentral:lncRNA from 1 species
AUGAACAAAGCUAGUGGAGGUGAUGGAAUUCCAGUUGAGCUAUAUAUCUCUCAAAUCCUGAGAGAUGAUGCUAUGAAAGUGCUGCACUCAAUAUGCCAGCAAAUUUGGAAAACUCAGCAGUGGCCACAGGACUGGAAAAGGUCACUUUUCAUUCAAAUCCCAAAGAAAGGCAAUGCCAAAGAAUGCUCAAACUACCGCACAAUUGCACUCAUACCACACGCUAGUAAAGUAAUGCUCAAAAUUCUCCAAGCCAGGCUUCAGCAAUACGUGAACUGUAAACUUCCAGAUGUUCAAGCUGGUUUUAGAAAAGGAGGAAGAACCAGGGAUCAAAUUGCCAACAUUUGCUGGAUCAUGGAAAAAGCAAGAGAGUUCCAGAAAAACAUCUAUUUCUGCUUUAUUGACUAUGCCAAAGCCUUUGACUGUGUGGAUCACAAUCAACUGUGGAAAAUUCUUCAAGAGAUGGGAAUACCAGACCAUCUGACCUGCCUCUUGAGAAACCUAUAUGCAGAUCAGGAAGCAGCAGUUAGAACAGAACAUGGAACAACAGACUGGUUCCAAAUAGGAGAAGGAGUACGUCAAGGCUGUAUAUUGUCACCCUGCUUAUUUAACUUAUAUGCAGAGUACAUCAUGAGAAAUGAUGGGUUGGAAAAAGCACAAGCUGGAAUCAAGAUUGCCAGGAGAAAUAUCAAAAACCUCAGAUAUGCAGACGACACCACCCUUACAGCAGAAAGUGAAGAGGAACUAAAGAGCCUCUUGAUGAAAGUGAAAGAGGAGACUGAAAAAGUUGGCUUAAAGCUCAACAUUCAGAAAACGAAGAUCAUGGCAUCCGGUCCCAUCACUUCAUGGGAAAUAGAUGGGGAAACAGUGGAAACAGUGUCAGACUUAAUUUUCUGGGGCUCCAAAAUCGUUGCAGAUGGUGAUUGCAGCCAUGAAAUUAAAAGACACUUACUCCUUGGAAGGAAAGUUAUGACCAACCUAGAUAGCAUAUUCAAAAGCAGAGACAUUACUUUGCCAACUAAGGUCUCUCUAGUCAAGGCUAUGGUUUUUUCAGUGGUCAUGUAUGGAUGUGAGAUUUGGACUGUGAAGAAAGCUGAGCACUGA